CCUGCCAACACAGGAGCAUCACCUGUAAGGCACAGAGAGAGAGAUCUGUGUGUGGCAAUGGGAGCUAUUGUAGCAUUAGCAGUGUUGCUGGGGACAUAAUCUUAUGGUCAUUGUGUUGAACUCACACAGCCUGGCUCUGUGGUUGUAAAACCAGGACAGUCUCUGAUCAUCUCCUGUAAAGUCUCUGGGUAUUCUGUGACUGAUAGCAGCUAUGCUACAGGCUGGAUUAGA